UGGUUAACAUAAAUUGGGAUGCAAAGCUUCCUUUUUUUUGGCUACCUUGUUUCAUCUGUCUGGAUCAACCUCAAACUUAUCAAUUCAGUCUUUUAAAUUGAAAUAGAGCCUUCAUAACCAGAUUUAUUUAACAUGCACUGAGACCAUUCCAUAUGGACAGUUUUUGGUGGCUAAACGACUUGCUGACGAUUCGCUUCUUUUGGACACAGUGUGCUGUUAGUUCCUGUCGAUGCAUUUAGGGAUUUAUCGUAGCUACAAUUUGGUUAGUUUCAAAUAUAUUUGAAGCUUUAUAAAAGCUUGCAUUUGUAGUGGAUGCAGACAGAGUAUAUGGCCUCCCUGAAUGGUGAAUAUGCCUCUGCUUGACCUUGCAUGCGUGUGUAAUGAAUCAUUAUUUCAUUGCAAGCAUAUGGCAUUCUGAAAAAAAAUGUGAUUCGCUCUGCCACAGAUUGCAGUGUAUUUUACAUCCUGGGAAUGCAUGGUUUUAUGCUCUGGCUUCGCCCUGUUUGCAUCAUGACGUCUAUAAGCACCUGUUUUACUAGAUGAAGUGAAUCAAUUCUUCAUUUGCAGGACACUGAGCAAGACACGUAAUUGCAACCACAAUCCGUGUCCAAAAUGGUCUGCAUAAACAGAUAUGCCGAGCACUUGCUUAUAUACAUAAUUGUGUUGUCAUCUGCCACCAUGAUAUCAAACCACAGAGCAUUCUCGUUAACCUACAUAACACGAGCUCAAAAUCUGAAUCUGUGAUUUUGGCAGUGCAAAAGUCUUGGUAAGUUAUCUUCUAUAAUAAGGUAGAAAUUUAAAUGCUCGAGUACUGCCGAUUUUGAAAAGAACAUGCUAAACUUUCUUGAUAAGAACAAAAAAAGGGUGCGCACUUAUGCCAGUAACCUACCCAGAUAUGAUGAUUUCUAAAUUGUUUUCAAAGUAAUGUUUUGCAUAUAUCUCCUACAUUUACUCAAGAUAUCUGCCAUUAUUUUGUUGUGGUUUUGUUCACUGCAGACUGAGUAUCUGCUCUGUCAUGGCAGAACUGCUUCCCCCAUAGGUUUUUCAUUCAUGCAUAUAGUCUUUUACUCCCUCCGUCCCAAAUAAGUGUUGCUGAUUUAGUAAAACAUUAGUACAAAGUUGUACUAAAUCAACGGCACUUAUUUUGGGACGGAGGGAGUAUUUUACUAUCUAGCUUGUUCUCAUAGUAUUCAUCCAUCCAUGUAGCCUCUUUUUCCUGGGGGAAAGUGGAGUUGAUCAACCGUUUGUGAUUACCAAGGUCUUGGGGAUACUCCAACAAGGGAAGAGAUCAAGUGCAUAGAAUCCAAACUACACGUUGUUCAAGUCCCCACAAAUUAAGGCUCAUCCAUGGCACAAGGAGACCGAGCCAGAUGUGGUUGCAGAUUCUGGUGCUGAAGAUGGUAACAUAUUUGCAAGCACAAUCCGUGGCCAAAAUGGUCUGCCUAAACAGUCCUGUAGAAAAGAGGGGUGCAGGUGCGAAACAUGCUGCGUCAGGUGUCUAGGAAGCUUAACCAAGUCAAGUGAGAGCUGAAUAUCUCCUACAUUUGCAUAAGAUAUUACAGAGCACCACUGCACCAGAACUGAUAUUAGGUGCAACUGAAUAUACUGCUGACAUGGACUUGUUCUGUUUUUUUUACGGCAGACUGAAUAUCUGCUAUGUCACGGCAGAACUGCUUCUCGGGCAGGUUUUAUUCAUGCAUAUAGUCUUUCAUUUUGCUCUCUAGCUUGUUCUCAAAAUAUUUAUCCAUUCACGCAUCCUCUUUUUUCCUAGGGAAAGUGGAGUUGAUCAGUUGGUUGAGCUUAUCAAGUGCGUCGCAGGUCUCGGGAUACUCCAACAAGGGAAGAGAUCAAGUGCAUAAAUCCAAACUACACGAAGUUCGAGUUCUCCCGAAUUAAGACUCGUCCGUGGCACAAGCUUGAGCGCGCAUCUGGCCUGGAACUUGAACUUCGUGUAAUGCGCCUGGUAGCUGACCUCUCCCGACAGUGCCACCUCGAACAACCCCGUCGCGUUCUCCUAUCAGAAAAUGAACACGGAUGGAACUGAAGAGAUGGAACUGAAGAGUAAUCAAAGGGAACGAUAACUGAAGAUUGAGGGAUGAAAGACAAACAUAACUGGCAAGUUUUUUCCUUUUUCGGUUUGUCAUCUUCAUAAACGAUGUGUUUGAAUUGUCUGGCAAGUUCCCAUGAUAUUCCAGACUGUUUUUUGUCAUCUCUUCCCCUCCCCCGUGUUUGUGCCUCAAGUGAGAUCGGUUCUAAUGCUCCAAGUAGUUCAACUGGCAAUGCUCUAAGAAAGAAUGCUGUCAUGAUGUAAGGAGACAGAUAAUCCAACUGAGGAUCAUGGAGUUCUGAUGCUUAAACCUACUGAAGAUUACCAUAUUCUGUGCAAUUUGAUAUGCCGAGCAUUUGCCUAUAUACAUAUUUGUGUUGGCAUUUGCUUAUACGCAGCCUCCUUUUCCUGGGAAAGUGGAGUUGAUCAACCGGUUGUGAUUAUCAAGUGCCUUGCAGGUCUUGGGAUACUCCUACAAGGCAAGAGAUCAAGUGCAUGAGUCCAAACUACACAGAGUUCAAGUUCCCGUGAAUUAAGGCUCAUCCAUGGCGCAAGGUAAUAUGCAUAUAUUAUGAGUUUUUUUUAGUAUGUCCAGAAAUGCUGCACGGGCAUGUUGUUUAAUCUAGCAUGAACUAAUAUGAGUGCUGAAAAAAAAAUUAGAGUUUCUCAGAAAUUCUCGCCAAGAAAUUCCUCAGAUAUUUAACAAAAAAAGAAAAUUAAUUGCAGCGAACAAAAAUGAAAAGCUGAUGCAACAUAAAAGAAAAGAAAAGGCCCACAUGAGACAGAUGUUUCUCAGAUGGGCCGGGUUCUGUGUGUCCAGCAAGCACAGCCAAACCUCACGGGCCAGCACCCACGAGUCCUUCUAAGCUGCUCACACAAAGGGGGCGCUGCUGCGUAGCUGCACGCCUAGCAUUAGUCCCACCUCGCCAGUUUACAGGGAGCAGAACCAGCUUAUAACCCGAGGCGCGGCAGGAGGUAGCACGACCUUACUUGAACAGGAUCUGUUCUAUAGGCUCGUACCGCUGCAUCCUUUACCAAUAAGGAGGCAAGCACUUCAGUCUGGUUGAUGUAUUCUGACCUCUGGGCCAGAGCGUGAUUAACGGCCAGGAUUUCUCUGAUGGGGCAAUCUAACGGCUGUAGAGGAUCGUUCCUGCCUGGCUCUCAUGCCUGACAGGGUGGCCCAGAGGUUGUCUGACAGACUACAAAACUUUUUUUCCUUCCGUUUUUUAGCCAGUCUCUUUUUCCAGAAGUACUCUAACAGUUGUGUCUGUCAUCUGUAUCUGAAAGAGCGAGCUUGCACUUGACCUUCUGGAACAUGAUGUCCGGCGGCGCGAGCUGCAGCUUGAGCAUGCAUCUGGCCUGGAACUUGCACUUGCAGGUUUACUCCGCCAAGGCGCAGUUCUGCGACAAUGGCCAGUCCUUGUGAUAGGGUGUGACACCGUUGGCCUCGAGGACCCAUGCCUUGAGAUACGCAUUGAUAAGAAGCCUGUCAUGCAGGCCGAAAUGGUCUGCCCAAACAGGUAUAGGCUGUGAAGCGAAAUUUGCUGAUAUGAUGGUUAAUGAAAUAGCCGGUCAGUUACAUCGCUGAACAUGUGGUUCGAACUGGUUCUUCUGUUUUUCUUUUUCAGGCCAAAUGUCGAGAAACGGGUUCCCAUACAAAGGUUCUUCCAAGGCAAGCGAUACAAAAACAGGGAAGUGCAAAUUAGGCAUUGUUCCAGAGACAGUAAACCGGAUGGCUAGACAGUACAACAGAGUGAAUCACUCAAAGAGCGCCCCUCAUUUAUGUCAAACUAUACACUUAUCACUUGUUUAGUUAAUCAUAAGGUCCCAUUUUCUUAGUAUAUAUCACAUAGGCGAAUCAUUUUUUUCCGAGAUAAGUAUUUGCACAUUUUUGUGGUAGUACGGAUUACAAUAGACCAUCUAAUGCCAGCUUCAGCUAAUGCUUAAUUCUGCUGAUUUUGUUCUUGCCACAGAUAAAAUUUGAGUUAAUGAUUUUUGCCAUGCAUCUGUAAUCUGUUUGCUCUUUGCAGUUGUUUAUUUCAGAAAUGUAAUGUCCUAGCCAUGCAGCAGAGUUGUUCCUUCAGUUAUUUAUCUUUUGAUACUGAGUAUUAGCACAAGAUGUGAUUGUUAUAGGUCGUCGUCUAAUCAUUGUUCCUGUAAUCUCGUAACUUUGCAGAUAUGCCAAGCAUUUGCUUCGAUACAUAAUUGUGCUGGCGUUUGCUUAUAUAUUUUUCCUGGGGAAAGUGGAGUUGAUCAGCCGGUUAGGAUUAUCAAGGUCUUGGGGUACUCCAACAAGGGAAAGGAUCAAGUGCAUGAAUCCAAACUACACGGAGUUCAAGUUCCCGCAAAUUAAGGCUCGUGGCACAAGCCUCUUUUUCCUGGGGGAAAGUGGAGUUGAUCAACCGUUUGUGAUUACCAAGGUCUUGGGGAUACUCCAACAAGGGAAGAGAUCAAGUGCAUAGAAUCCAAACUACACGUUGUUCAAGUCCCCACAAAUUAAGGCUCAUCCAUGGCACAAGGUAUAUAGCACAUAAUAUAACAGUGGCAAGAAAAUCUGAAGAACUAAUGGCUGGAUGACAAGAAUGACAAGUGAGCCCAGAGGGUUGUCUGACAGACUACUAAAACUUUUUAGCCAGUCUCUUUUUUUCGGUCUCCUAUACAUUGUCUGAUUUUUCAUUUUUGGGCAGUUUUAACCACAUAAUCUAUUUGCAAUCACACAUCUCAAAUUAUCUGUGACAGGUAUAUAGCACAUAAUAUAACAGUGGCAAGAAAAUCUGAAGAACUAAUGGCUGGAUGACAAGAAUGACAAGUGAAAUGAGACACCGAUAACUACUCAAAAUAUCAGUGUCAUUCAACCUAUGGGCCACCCUGCACAGGCGUGAUCCAGGCAGUAAUUUGGGAUCAAUGAAGAGCGAGAAGGCUGAGGAAAAAAAAGGCCAGAAAAUGAAGAAUAAUAAGAAUACUGAGAAGACGAAGGAAGAAAGUGAAAUCUGAACAAAAGACUGGGGACUAAACAGUUACCAACUUCAUGCACAUAUGCUAACUCCAUUUUAUGAACAAAAGACUGGGGACUAAACUUUUUAGCCAGUCUCUUUUUUUCGGUCUCCUAUACAUUGUCUGAUUUUUCAUUUUUGGGCAGUUUUAACCACAUAAUCUAUUUGCAAUCACACAUCUCAAAUUAUCUGCGACAGGUAUAUAGCACAUAAUAUAACAGUGGCAAGAAAAUCUGAAGAACUAAUGGCUGGAUGACAAGAAUGACAAGUAUAUAGCACAUAAUAUAACAGUGGCAAGAAAAUCUGAAGAACUAAUGGCUGGAUGACAAGAAUGACAAGUGAAAUGAGACACCGAUAACUACUCAAAAUAUCAGUGUCAUUCAACCUAUGGGCCACCCUGCACAGGCGUGAUCCAGGCAGUAAUUUGGGAUCAAUGAAGAGCGAGAAGGCUGAGGAAAAAAAAGGCCAGAAAAUGAAGAAUAAUAAGAAUACUGAGAAGACGAAGGAAGAAAGUGAAAUCUGAACAAAAGACUGGGGACUAAACAGUUACCAACUUCAUGCACAUAUGCUAACUCCAUUUUAUGAACAAAAGACUGGGGACUAAACUUUUUAGCCAGUCUCUUUUUUUCGGUCUCCUAUACAUUGUCUGAUUUUUCAUUUUUGGGCAGUUUUAACCACAUAAUCUAUUUGCAAUCACACAUCUCAAAUUAUCUGUGACAGGUAUAUAGCACAUAAUAUAACAGUGGCAAGAAAAUCUGAAGAACUAAUGGCUGGAUGACAAGAAUGACAAGUGAAAUGAGACACCGAUAACUACUCAAAAUAUCAGUGUCAUUUAACCUAUGGGCCACCCUGCACAGGCGUGAUCCAGGCAGUAAUUUGGGAUCAAUGAAGAGCGAGAAGGCUGAGGAAAAAAAAGACCAGAAAAUGAAGAAUAAUAAGAAUACUGAGAAGACGAAGGAAGAAAGUGAAAUCUGAACAAAAGACUGGGGACUAAACAGUUACCAACUUCAUGCACAUAUGCUAACUCCAUUUUAUCAAGAAUUCUUGUAGAGCACGGUAAGUUUUUUGAACUAAAAGGUUUAAAAACUGAUCCUAAAACUGAGAAAAAUAAAUAAAGCACGGCAAGAAUUCUUGUAGAGCACGGCAAAAAUGAAGGUCUGGAGAUUAGUAGAGAGCUAAAUCUCAUGACUGAACACUAAGAAGACUAAGGACUGAUAAUUAAAACUCAGAAGCACC